UUAUGCAUUGUAUCGUAGUGUAACGAAUUGCUUUCAGGUUUACCCCCAAAGCCGCCUCCACGGGAACGCCCCACGGCAAAACCGCAAUCGAUGGGGCAUGGUGUCAUGCCAUCCAAGUGGGAAAACAAGGGAGCGCACAAUGGAGUCCGAGAUGUCAAGAGGCAAGCAAGAGAGGGAAAACAGAUGAAUAUGAUAUUCAUGCGG